UACGUAGGGGGCAAGCGUUGUCCGAAAUUAUUGGGCGUAAAGAGCGUGUAGGCGGUCCGGUAAGUCCGCUGUGAAAGUCGGGGGCUCAACCCUCGAAUGCCGGUGGAUACUGUCGGGCUAGAGUGCGGAAGAGGCGAGUGGAAUUCCUGGUGUAGCGGUGAAAUGCGCAGAUAUCAGGAGGAACACCUAUUGCGAAGGCAGCUCGCUGGGACGUAACUGACGCUGAGACGCGAAAGCGUGGGGAGCAAACAGG
rnacentral:rRNA from 1 species